rnacentral:rRNA from 1 species
AUGGACGGUGGCAGCAGUCUAAACCUGAUAUAUCAGGACACAGUCCGCAAAAUGGGGAUAGACCCAACGAAAAUUUGCCACACCAAUACUACCUUUAAAGGAGUAACGCCAGGCCCAGGGGCUCAUUGCACGGGCUCCCUGCUACUAGAGGUUAUAUUCGGCUUCCCCGAUAACUUCCGUAGUGAAAAUUUAACCUUCCACAUUGCGCCAUUCCAAAGUGGCUAUCAAGCACUACUUGGACGCAAAGCUUUCGCUCGCUUUAAUGCAAUACCGCAUUAUGCUUCCCUCACUCUUAAGAUGCCCAGUCCACGUGGCAUCAUUACAGUAAAUGGAAAUAUUGAGCAAUCCCUACGCGCCGAAGAGAGUGUGGCGGCCUUGGCAGCCGCACACUAA